AAUGAACGCUGGCGGCGCGCCUAAUACAUGCAAGUCGAGCGAGAAGACGUAGCAAUACGUUUGUAAAGCGGCGAACGGGUGAGGAACACAUCGGAAUCUGCCUGGUUGUGGGGGAUAACGUAGGGAAACUUACCCUAAUACCGCAUGCGACCCUGAGUCGACGGACUUGGGGUGAAAGUGAGGGACCUUCGGGCCUCACGCGACCAGAUGAGCCGAUGUCGGAUUAGCUAGUUGGCGGGGUAACGGCCCGCCAAGGCGACGAUCCGUAGCUGGUCUGAGAGGAUGAUCAGCCACACUGGGACUGAGACACGGCCCAGACUCCUACGGAGGCAGCAGUGGGGAAUCUUGGACAAUGGGCGCAAGCCUGAUCCAGCGACGCCGCGUGAGGGAUGACGGCCU
rnacentral:rRNA from 1 species